ACGAACGCUGGCGGCGUGCUUAACACAUGCAAGUCGAACGGAAAGGCCUUUUCGGAGGUACUCGAGUGGCGAACGGGUGAGUAACACGUGGGUGAUCUGCCCUGCACUCUGGGAUAAGCCUGGGAAACUGGGUCUAAUGCCGGAUAGGACCGCACUUUAGUGUGUGUGGUGGAAAGUUUUUUCGGUGUAGGAUGAGCCCGCGGCCUAUCAGCUUGUUGGUGGGGUAAUGGCCUACCAAGGCGGCGACGGGUAGCCGGACUGAGAGGUUGGUCGGCCACAUUGGGACUGAGAUACGGCCCAGACUCCUACGGGAGGCAGCAGUGGGGAAUAUUGCACAAUGGGCGCAAGCCUGAUGCAGCGACGCCGCGUGGGGGAUGACGGCCUUCGGGUUGUAAACUCCUUUCGCCAGGGACGAAGCGUUUUGUGACGGUACCUGGAGAAGAAGCACCGGCUAACUACGUG
rnacentral:rRNA from 1 species